GCGCACCAGGCGAGAAUACUUUACAAUGUGCGAAAGCACGAUAAGGGAACUCUGAGUGCCUCCUAAGGAGGCUGUUCUGAUGUCUAAGAAGCAACAGAAGUAAGGGCUGGGUAAGACCGGUGCCAGCCGCCGCGGUAACACCGGCAGCCCAAGUGGUAGCCACGUUUAUUGGGUCUAAAGCGUUCGUAGCCGGCCAGGUAAGUUCCUUGGUAAAUUUAGCCGCUUAACGGUUAAGCUUUCAGGGAAUACUGCUUGGCUUGGGACUGGGGAGAGGUCAGAGGUACUCCGGGGGUAGGGGUGAAAUCUAUUAAUCCCUGGGGGACCACCGGUAGCGAAGGCGUCUGACCAGACCAGGUCCGACGGUGAGGGACGAAGGCUAGGGGCGCGAACCGGAUUAGAUACCCGGGUAGU
rnacentral:rRNA from 1 species